CAACAAUUAAAUUUUCUCCUGUAAAGACGGAAAGGCAGCACCAUGGAAAGAGCACUGAAUCAGGAGACCUCGGUCCGGCCACAUUUCUGCUAUACCUAGAUCGCUGUGAUGCUGAGUCGAUCACGUAACUUCUCUGGCCUUCAGAGAGAACUUGUAAGAUGAGGAGCUGGCCUCAUAGGUGAUGAGUUAGAAUCUCCUUCAAUUCCACAGCUACUGUUUCUAAGUCUACAAAAGCUUCAAAUCUGUCCAAACCACAACAGAGACAAGAUGCCUAUACUCGUAUGCUCCUUAGUCUACUUUCAAUACAGUUGAGACCCUACCGCCUGAGGGGUGAGGGCACACCUUUGGAAGAACCAGACUGUCCCUGCCUGGAGGCUUGCUAACUGCCUGAACUUAGACAAUUAUUUCACCUCACUCCACCUCGGUUUCCUCCUCUGUAAGACUGGGUAGCAGCAGUGCCUAUUACUGUCAUAUUAAAUGACCCUAUAUUUACAGAGCCAUAAUCAUGGAGCCUACCAAUAGAUAUUUAAAACAAAUCAAGGUGAUUACAGCUUUUGGCUUCUUUUGGAAUUAAAGAGCGGGGAUUCCUGCUGCAGCACAGCGGAAACGAAGCUGACUUGUAUCCAUGAGGAUGCAGGUUCAAUCCCUGGCCUCAUUCAGUGAGUCUGGGAUCCAGCUUUGCCCUGAGCUGUGGUGUAGGUCACAGAUGUGGCUCGGAUCUCGCAUGGCUGUGGCUGUGGUGUAGGCGGGCAGCUGCAGCUCUGAUUGGACCCCUAGCCUGGGGACUUCUAUAUGCUGUGGGUGCUGCCCUAAAAAGCAAAAAAAAAAAAAAAAAAAAAAGAAUUAAAGAGCAAUUGUUGAUAUCUAAAUUGUUGUAGCCCUGUAGUUAGUGAUUUUUUUUUUCUCCAAAAGUAAUUUCUUUUAGUCUUUAUACAAAGACUAUAGGUACCUAUUUUACAUAAGAGGAUAGAGUCAGCUCUGUUGAGUGGCCUGGGCCAGGAGCUCUUUCUCUAGGGCUCUUCUACCCCUGCCCCAGCCCAGAGGCCACACACUAGAUUCCAGGGUUCUGCCUGUGCUGGGGUCAGGGCAUUGCAGGCUUCUUGGAGUUGUGUGUGUAGUGGUUGGUGAACUAGGGUAAGAACAUGGCCUUGUUCUGAAUACAACCCUAAUGUGUCAGGUCUUCUUCCAGCUCUCCUCACGUGAUUGUUUUAGAAACAGUAAAUUCCCAGAAUUUUUUUUUUUUUUUUUUUUUUUUUUUUUUUUUGCUUUUUAGGGCCACACACACGGCACAUGGAAGUUCCCAAGCUAGGGGUCGAAUUGGAGCUACCGCCAACGGCCUACACCACAGCCACAGUAACACGGGAUCCAAGCUCCAUUUGCGACCUACAUCAUAGCUCAUGGCAACGUGGGAUCCUUAACCCACUGAGUGAGGCCAGGGAUGGAACCCGCAUCCUCAUGGAUACCAGUUGGAUUGGUUUCCACUGAGCUGCAAUGGGAACUCCCUGCCCAGAGAUUUUUUCAAGUGAUCACAAUACUGAGUUUCCAUGUAUACUACUGUAGAUGCAAAACUGGACGGGCAAACUUUCAGUCCAAGUGAACAGCCCUCCCUCCGUUAGAAUCACAUCGGCGAAGGUCAGUCGCUAGACCUACUUCUAAUUCUGGGUGUAUGGAACCAUCUCUAGAUUUCUAUGACCACGUAAAAGCUUCACAAUCAACUUUGCGGAGAUCAUUAAAUACUGUGUAUUUAAUUUAAAUAUUUAAUGUAUUUAACCUGCUGGAAAUAAUAUUUCUCUUGUUUAAAACUGAUUAAAUUAUUUCUAACUGCUCCUUCCUCUGUGCUUUUGUAUACAGCUUCUCUGCAUCUAACAGCCCUGAUUUCUUACUAUUUCUAUUCCUGAAUAAUGACAAUAAAGAGUAAAAGCUGACACUUUAAGCACUUACCCUGUGGCAUCAACCCCUCUCGUGUAUAUUAUUUAACAUCACAUAACAAGACGAUGAUUGGCCCUGUUUUACAGAUGAGAAAACUGAGUCUGGGGGGUGAGGUAUCUUGCCUCCAGCCACAGAGCUGGGAGACGGUGGCAAGAGACACAGAAGCAGGGCUCCCCUCCUCUUCUGGACCUCAACUCAAACACUUAUUUUCCUCCUCAGGCAAGCCAAAAUCAUCUCUGUUCAGAGGCCUUCUACCAAUGACUCUUGCUGAUAAGACUAUGCUUUCUUCUUCCUUUUUUUAGUAUUUAUAAACUCGGUAGAGCAUUCAUUGGUAAUUUUUGUGAUUUUUUUUAAGUGUCAUCAAAAAUACUUAUUUUGUCCAUCAGGUUCAAUUUUUAUUGAUUUGCAGAGACUGUGUUCUCCCUCUCUCUCUCUGUCUCCCCCGCCCCUUCUGCCAUGACCUGUGAGCAAAAGAAUGUCCUUAACAAAGCAGGUGUCCAGCGGAUCCCAUCCAUUCACCAUUCAUCAAUCACAGUGUUGCCAUUAGCAUGUGAGCAACUGCCUAACAAACACUCUCUCUCAUUUCGAAACCAACGUCAUUUACCAAUUUCGUAUCACUACUCAUCACUGUCUCUAGCCUCACUUCUAUAACUUUGCGAUCUGACGAUGACAGUCAGCAAGAAUGGCUUAUAUUUCUCCAUGAUGUACACAGUGUACAAAUAAACAGCCCUGAGUCUUAGUGACACGAGUCUUCAAGACAAUGCCGUCAGUAAAACCUUGUCUGACAGGUGGAAGGAGCCCAACGUCUGUGGUUUAUGCUGUUCUCUACAUGGUUGGCUGAGAAGUUAAACCACCAGAAGUACAUUAGAAAACAUACCUCAUAUUUUUCAUUUCCCUAUCAAAUGAAACAGAAAUUAUAUUUUGCAACUUGGAAAGGCAUUUUCUUCAAAUAAAACUUGCACACUUACAUCUGUUCAUAAAAAUGUUGAGCAUCUUAAAAUAUGAACAAAUGCUAGAGUUUUAGGAAUGACCUAGCAGCUGCUGCACAUGCAGAUGUGAUGUAAAAUCUGCGGAAAAGCCAUUCAGCUAUUCAUAAAUAGGAUCUGGAAAGCCUUCUAUUUUGGUACACAAGAGUUGAUUGCUUUUCCUCUUUCUAAACCAAGCCUUCCAGAAGUUAGAAAGAAGAGAUAGCCAUUAUCUAAAACCUAAAUCAACACAUCCCAUGAUAACCUAAGUUAGUUCACAUUUCUAUGAAUUUGAACUGAUAUUCCAAUUUUUGAAAGAUAUGCAAGGCACGGUAGAUAUUAAAUUUUCCAUGCCAUUAUGACUUUUUUUACGAGACACAAGAAACAUACACUUAAAAACAAACAAACAAACAAACAAAACCAACCAGAGAUGGAGACAGAGACAGGUAAAAACCGUAACAGAAUAAGAGAAUAAUUUUGAAGUCACAACAUUCUUUCUUUCAGCCAGAAAAUGAAUAGCACCAACCAGAGCCACUACCAUGCACACACAGAAUAAAAGUGAAGCAGGCCCCCCAGGAAGGUGAAAUGCUGUGUGAACGGCGCCGGUCAGCUUUGUCCCCUACCGAUUCUCUGUUUCCAGUCACACCAGUUGCCUUCCAAUCCCUGUUCUGACCCAAGAGCUUUCCUGAUUCCGACCCUUCCCAUACGCUGUGCCCAUUGACUUAAAUGCUUUUGAAAAACCUGAAUGCUAAGGAAUGAUACUGCGCUCUAGAACUGAGCUCAAACGCUGCUCCGGAGGGAGCGUUCUCCAGCCCUCCAGACACGCUCGGUCCCCUUGCUACACGCCCAGGGCACCCUCCUUCCCCUACCUGGCCCUUUCCACAACGGUAAUUAAAAAAAUUAAAUGUGCUCUUGAUGGUAUACAGUCAGUCUAUCCCUUGACAGCAAGAUUUAGGAGAUCCUUGCUUUUCAGCUGUACCCACAACGCGCGGCAAAGCGCCUCGCCCCCUGAAAAUGCACUCGGUAUGUUCAUACACACACUUCCACCUCCAAGCAUUUCCUCGUAUCUCCUGCCUUCUCAUUUUCCUACACUUUCAACCCGAGUCUCUGGCCUUCAAUUACGUUAGUCCCAGGGAAGAACUGGCUUUGACCAAACACGUGGCCAGAGGUGUAACUCAUGCUCACGAAGAGACCGCUGGACCCCACAAAACAGCUCUGGUGAGAAAUGCCCUCUUCCCUGCCCGUUGGCCAGCCUGAUGUCGCUCCUAAUGUUAUCCCCUUUGGUCUGGUUUCACAGUCUCCACUGGGGACAAAGGAAUGACGGAUCUUCUUGCAUCCCUCUUGGGAAUUUCAUAAGCUAUUUCCACAGCUGACGAUCACUUGGACUUGAGGGGGAGGGAAGUUGUUUUAAAGAGUGCCGUAUUUCACAACAGCUGAAAUAAUUUUCUGCCAAAGCCUGUUUUAAAUUCGACGUGUGUUUUCUCUGUAUGUACAAGGCAGCCAAAGGUCUAGAGAUAUAAUGUGACAUAUGAAUUCAGCCCUUGAAUAUGCAAAAACAGAAGAUAUUUGUAUAUACUCCUAAUGAUAAUAAUUACCAUUGACUCUAAAGUAAGCAAAUCCAUAUUUGUUUUCAAGUUAAGGGUGUUACUUGAGAAUAUUCGAAAACAUUUGCUAAAGGGGUGUGAACAGUGCAGCCGCUCAUCAAAAUCCUUCUGUCUGAAUCUAUUAACUGGCAUUUCCCCAGCUGGGGCAUUCCUGCAUAACAAAAGCUCCUUAUGCCAAGAGUGAGGGCUGAUACCUAACUCAGACACCAGAUUUACUUUAUCCAGAAUUAAAACUUCUUAAUAGAUUUUGUCAGUGUGUGUUUUUAUGAUGCAGCUAUAUCAAGCCCAAACCCAAAAGGUACCGUCGAAGAGAAAAUUCAAAUUCAAGCUUCAAAGUCAAGAUAUUCAUCAAGACUGUUUCUUUCUACUUAAAAAAAAAAUUCUCCAACUUGUUCACAAAAACAUCUUGAAAUUACUCAUGUAAAUUCUUUAGGGAGAGAUAUGUACUGUUUUAUCGCCUUCCUAUCCCCCACUGAUCUCACUGCUUUUUUAUCUUUCACUCAGUGUUAAAGAGAUGUUACAGGUGGUUUUCCAAAUGUGUAUGUUUUCAAAGGAUUAAGGUAUUUGGAUUACCUAAAUUAAAAUGAACAAACAAACAAACUCCAUUUCCGUCACCUAAAAAGGUUAAAGGUUAUAUGCGUCUUUUGAGUAUGUUGAAGGUGGUAACAAAUACUUGCAGACUGAUCAUCAUAUGUUGAUCUUCUAUAUCUAUGUCAAGUUGAUCCCUAAAACCUUCCCUUCUGAAAAGGGGUGCUACUGUCCUAGGCGCUGUAGUAAGUGUCAUUCCUACUGGCCCUACCUGGGUAGCUGGGUCUGUUUCACUGUCAAUGAUUUUUUUUUUUUUUCCUCCUUGUAUAUCAAAAGUAUAUAUCACAUAUUUUUCUCUCUUUUUAAUGAGCAAACUGAAAGGAUUCUGAACCUACAUAACAGAAAAAGGUUGUCAUUAGUUUGCUUGAGUAUCACAGACUACCCACUUUUUCCUCUGAAAACAUCUCAGGAACAACUGUGCUU
rnacentral:lncRNA from 9 species